rnacentral:piRNA from 1 species
UGCAUGCCUGUGAGACCCUUUAAGUUGUGA